CAGUCGCCGCGGGAAUACGAAGGGGGCUAGCGUUGUUCGGAUUUACUGGGCGUAAAGGGCGCGUAGGCGGACUGAUAAGUCAGGGGUGAAAUCCCAAGGCUCAACCUUGGAACUGCCUUUGAUACUGUUUGUCUUGAGUUCGAGAGAGGUAAGUGGAACUGCGAGUGUAGAGGUGAAAUUCGUAGAUAUUCGCAAGAACACCAGUGGCGAAGGCGGCUUACUGGCUCGAAACUGACGCUAAGGCGCGAAAGCGUGGGGAGCAAACAGGAUUAGAUACCCCCGUAGUCCCUGUCUCUUAUAC
rnacentral:rRNA from 1 species